rnacentral:rRNA from 1 species
GACGAACGCUGGCGGCGUGCUUAACACAUGCAAGUCGAACGGUAAGGCCCUUCGGGGUACACGAGUGGCGAACGGGUGAGUAACACGUGGGUGAUCUGCCCUGCACUUCGGGAUAAGCCUGGGAAACUGGGGCUAAUACCGGAUAGGACUCCGGACUGCAUGGUCUGGGGUGGAAAGCUUUUGCGGUGUGGGAUGGGCCCGCGGCCUAUCAGCUGGUUGGUGGGGUGAUGGCCUACCAAGGCGACGACGGGUAGCCGGCCUGAGAGGGUGACCGGCCACACUGGGACUGAGAUACGGUCCAGACCCCUACGGGAGGCAGCAGUGGGGAAUAUUGCACAAUGGGCGCAAGCCUGAUGCAGCGACGCCGCGUGAGGGAUGACGGCCUUCGGGUUGUAAACCUCUUUCAGCAUCGACGAAGCGAAAGUGACGGUAGGUGCAGAAGAAGGACCGGCCAACUACGUGCCAGCCGCCGCCGUAA